UCUGAGCAUGCGCACUUUCACCGCUUGAUUUUUAAAAACAGUGAUAAAACUUGCAGUGAAAUUUGGCUCGAUCCAGAUUCCAGAACAAAGAAUAAGAGUCUUGUAUAAAAAUCCACAGAUCCAAUGUGUCUGAGGUUGAGGAAUGCAUUACAGUAACACUUAAGCAUGCACCAGCUCAAAAAGAUGGACCAAGAUAUAAAAAGAGACCUGAAACCAACACAAGACCAGCUGAUCAGAGGGCAGAAAACCAAAAUUUGGAAUGACAUGUAUACAACCAACACAAGACUAAAAUUUGGAAUAA